rnacentral:rRNA from 1 species
GACGUAGGAGGCAAGCGUUAUCCGGAAUUACUGGGCGUAAAGCGGAAGCAGGUGGCCUUUUAAGUCUGGGGUGAAAUCUCUCGGCUCAACCGGGAGGAGUCUCUGGAUACUGGGAGGCUUGAGGGCAGCAGAGGGAGGUGGAAUUCCCGGUGUAGUGGUGAAAUGCGUAGAUAUCGGGAGGAACACCAGUGGCGAAGGCGGCCUCCUGGGCUGUUCCUGACACUGAGUUCCGAAAGCGUGGGGAG